UACGUAGGUGGCUAGCGUUGUUCGGAUUUAUUGGGCGUAAAGGGUCUGUAGGGGGCCUGCUAAGUCUGAUGUGAAAUACCAAGGCUUAACCUUGGAACUGCAUUGGAUACUGGCGGGCUAGAGCAUCGGAGAGGAGAAUGGAAUUCCUGGUGUAGCGGUGGAAUGCGUAGAUAUCAGGAGGAACACCAAAGGCGAAGGCAUUUCUCUGGACGAUUGCUGACCCUCAAAGACGAAAGCAUGGGGAGCAAACAGGAUUAGAUACCCUGGUAGUCCAUGCUGUAAACGGUGUGAACUUGACGUGGAUGGGAUUAGCCCCUUCCGUGUCGUAGCUAACGCGAUAAGUUCACCGCCUGGGGACUACGGCCGCAAGGCUAAA
rnacentral:rRNA from 1 species